CAGGACGAACGCUGGCGGCGUGCUUAACACAUGCAAGUCGAACGAUGAAGCCCUUCGGGGUGGAUUAGUGGCGAACGGGUGAGUAACACGUGGGCAAUCUGCCCUUCACUCUGGGACAAGCCCUGGAAACGGGGUCUAAUACCGGAUAAUACUCCUGCCUGCAUGGGUGGGGGUUGAAAGCUCCGGCGGUGAAGGAUGAGCCCGCGGCCUAUCAGCUUGUUGGUGGGGUAAUGGCCCACCAAGGCGACGACGGGUAGCCGGCCUGAGAGGGCGACCGGCCACACUGGGACUGAGACACGGCCCAGACUCCUACGGGAGGCAGCAGUGGGGAAUAUUGCACAAUGGGCGAAAGCCUGAUGCAGCGACGCCGCGUGAGGGAUGACGGCCUUCGGGUUGUAAACCUCUUUCAGCAGGGAAGAAGCGAAAGUGACGGUACCUGCAGAAGAAGCGCCGGCUAACUACGUGCCAGCAGCCGCGGUAAUACGUAGGGCGCAAGCGUUGUCCGGAAUUAUUGGGCGUAAAGAGCUCGUAGGCGGCUUGUCACGUCGGAUGUGAAAGCCCGAGGCUUAACCUCGGGUCUGCAUUCGAUACGGGCUAGCUAGAGUGUGGUAGGGGAGAUCGGAAUUCCUGGUGUAGCGGUGAAAUGCGCAGAUAUCAGGAGGAACACCGGUGGCGAAGGCGGAUCUCUGGGCCAUUACUGACGCUGAGGAGCGAAAGCGUGGGGAGCGAACAGGAUUAGAUACCCUGGUAGUCCACGCCGUAAACGUUGGGAA
rnacentral:rRNA from 1 species